CUUUAAUUUAGUUAAUGUCAGAUCCACCUCUGGCUUUAUUAACUGCCAAGGUGGAGAAGACAAAAGCUGCAUGGGGGCUAUAUCUUCAAGAUUAAUUUGAGCAGCUGAAAUAUCAGAUUGAAGUCUUGUUCCAAGUGGGGGGAGAACCAAUGAUUUUUUUUUAUAGAGAUUUCCAUAAAGGGGGUUAAAAAAAACAGUCAUAUGCUGGAUUCCAGUUAUUAGAGCGUAAUUUAGAGACAUACUGUAAAGAUAUUUUGAUUCGGCGUUGUUUAAAGGGCAAGUUCACACGAAAAUAAACCUAUUUUUCUUGUACUUUUUCAUCAUGAAAAGUAUUUACCUAGUAGUUUCGAAGGCAAAACAAUAAAAAUAUCACACGUAUCUCAUUUAUUUUAUUCAUAAAAUCGGUUAAUAUUUUUCACAUUUACAGAGAGUUCUAUUUCCAUAAUAAACACACCAUGGCUGAUGCCCCUUGCAAUAUGACGUCAUUGGUGCCAAUUGAUAAAGGAAAGACGUCAUAAGACUUUAUUAGACGCGUUUCACGUGGUGUAUGUAGAGGUGUGUGGUUCUAUCUUCUCAGAUGCGCAUCCCAUUGUUUUGUUCGGUGCCGAGCUGUCCAAGAUACAACGCUAAGCACAAUUACUCUAAAAUUAUUUCGUUUUCCAAAAUCGCGACUGAGAAGACAACAAUGCAUGGAUAACAUACUGUAAGAUUCGCGAUUGUGGUUGGAAAGGUCCGUUGUAUGAAUUGCGCUUAUUCGUUCAUUUGUGUUGCGCAUAUUCGCUCUUGCUGAGUUGCUGUCGUCUUCCGUGAGAGUUUAGAUAUCUGCUGGUUCUGAAACCACAGGACCAUUUGUAACUAAUAAUAACAAUAAAAAAAACUCGCCAAAAAAUUAUAGACGAGGCCGAAUGCCGUUUUCGUUACUAUUAUUAGUUACAUGGUCCUGUGCUGAAACUGAUCGGAAGCGGAUGGUGUACGAACCUUAUAUGGAAACGGGCUAAAGGGACAGCACUCUCAUCAAGACCCUGACUGGGAUGUUUUUGUAAACAAACGCCGUAAAGUUGAAGUAACUCGAUCAGGUAAGUUUGCUGUUUUGUUUCUUCUAACCAAAGUAGUAUUUAAGAAAAGUAUUUUAGCAGGGGUAGGGUGAUAUUGUACAUAGUUUCACUUGAUAAUCAUGAAUAUCCUCGAUGUUGUCUAUUUCACAUGUUCACUUCCUCCAUGGUUAUGUCGAUACACCUGAUCAGCUGAUCGUUGCAGUAUGCAGCAAACUCCUGUUGAUGGAGUAAGUUGUGUUACGUAAUGUUUUAGUUUUACAGCCAUUCCCGUCUGAAAUUAACACAAAUCAUCUCAUUUCGGUAAUUAAUAAACUUUAUAAUAACACAGGAAUUAUAUAAACUCAUUGAAAUUCUGUGUGUGUGUGUUUGUGUGUGUACCUAAUCUUUAAAUAAUCAUGUACAAUCAUUUUGAUUCAGACUGUUGAAACUGUUGAAACAACCUCGUUGCCACAUGUUUCUUUUUUUUAUUUAGGCUUUAUAUAUUUUUUUAUUUAAAAAGAUAUCUGGUUUUGCUGGUUUGUAGCUGACAAAAUACCCAGUCUCUAUCCAAAAUCAUCGCCCACCCACCACCCAAAAUAUUCAAAUUCCAUGUUCAAUGCAAUUUACACACAUAUGUACAUGAAAAAAAUCAAGUUACCAUUUUUUAUUUUGUGAUAGUGGGAUAUAGAUGACAAAAGUGUUAAUGUUUCUAUGUUGUAUCUUUCAAAUAAGGAGUCAUGCUUGACACUGAUGCCCAAAAAGUACAGGUCCCCAGUCCAUCAUGGUGUACAGUCACUGUCCAAUGUACACCAGAAGCAUGGCACACGGUGCUUUACAGUAUGAGGUCCCACAAUGAUUAUAUGGAAAAGUAUACAUGCGACGAAACCCUUUCCAUAUUCAUAUGAAAUCUCUGUAAAAAACAAAGUCGAUGAUACGAUUAUGACUAAAUCAUGAGCAUGUGUUAAUGAAUCGCUAUCAAAUAGUGAUAAUACCAGGUGUUCGCGAAAGGUGAGAGUAUCCUGCCCCACCGAUGUCAGAAGAAAUCCCUGGUGUUGAGAUCCAUUUUCAUUGUGUGCAAAUUGUGUUUAUUUUCAUGCAGAGUCAUAAAAUAUUAGAGCGUCUUGUGAGGUACAGUGCUUCAGACAACAAGAGAGCUGUACUUUUGAAUUAGUCAACCAGUGCACUAACAAGUUGCCACUGAGCAUUUAGCCAGUGCUUGUCAUAUUUUCUUCAGUCUUUUCCCCAGCCCAAAACUACCUCAUCCAGCAUCAGCCACCCUGUAUUACAGAAAUUUAUCAAAUGAAACAGCCAAGGCUGAUUGUUGUCAUAGACCAUAAAACAAGAUUUCAAUGAAAAAAGUUUAUUUUAAUGAGCAUAGAGAAAAACAUUACAUACAUCAAAUGCAAAUCUCUCACAAAUCACCUCGACAACACAAGAUGGAAUAACUUUUCUCUGAUUCUUCAACUAUUUCUGCAAAUCCCCAAAGUGAACCUCUUGUUUAUGAGGUGUAGAUCGAUUCUGAAAUGAAAAAGUGUCUUUUAUUAGUCAAGCUAUACACAACAUUACAAAAAAUAUCAUACCUUUUACAUAUAUAUUUUUGUCAUUCAAUCUGGAGGGAUGCCUAUAUAAGAAGUUACUUGUAUUGAUGAUAUAUGCAUAUUUUUUAUUACAUGUUAAUAAUUCAAUAAAUACCAAAACAGUUUAUAGUUCUAUCAUGUUGACAUGAUGUGUUUAUUACUAUAGGUUUGAAUACCUCUUGAAAUAUUGUGGGCAUGUUUCAAUAUCACUGAUGUAAUUCAAUAACUUUACAAGUUACAUAUGCUUUCACAACUUGCUGGCAAAUAAACAUUUAUGGUAUUGGAGAUUUAUUUUACUUGUCAGAUUUGUUUGUUGUGCAUGAUAGAUCUUAAAAUGCAUAAUAAAAUAAAUUGAUGAAAGUAAAUAAUAUAAUAUGUUUUUCUAAACUUUCUUUCAAGUGUUAAUAUAAAAAAGGGUGGUGGGGUAGCCUUGUGGUGAAAGCGUUCGAUCGUCACACUGAAGACCCAAGUUCGAUUCCCCACAUGGGCACAACAUGUGAAGCCCUUUUCUGGUGUCCCCCAGUUGUGAUAUUGCUGGAAUAUUGCUAAAAGCGGGGUAAAACCCUACUCACUCACUCAUAUAAAAAAAUGAUUGCAUAUUUCAUUUGCAUUUUAGGGGGUGGUUGUAACAGACGUUUUGCUCAAAAGGUCAGGUUGGGAGGUCCAAAUUUCCAAACAAAGAUUUACAAUUUCAAAUAUGUUUCACUAAUAUUCAACAAGUUUUACUUAUAGUUUCUUAGAUAAUUUAUAUGUAUUGAUUGUGACAGUAAAUGAGAUUUUUGUAAACAUUUUACAUAUAUCUGGCCCACUCAGUUAAACAACCAAAUGUUUUUAAUAAUUAAUUAUAUAUUAGAUAUUUCGUCUUUUUUAUAGUUUCUAAACUUUUUU